rnacentral:lncRNA from 1 species
AAAGAUUGCAUAAGGAAGUAUCAAAAUAUAAAUCUACUUGCUAUUACAAGCAUUCAUCUCACAUAUUACAUUUUACAUUACAAAUUACAUUCGUUUACAUUCAACUUCCAAAUACAAUCCAAUUAUUAUAAAUUUACUACAAGUUUGAUACAUCUUGUUCUUUCAUUUUUCUCUACCCCUAGGCUAUGCCGACUUGGGGU